rnacentral:piRNA from 1 species
UUGUGGAACAAGGGACCAUAAAGGUGCAGGU